rnacentral:lncRNA from 1 species
GCAUCGCAAACAUGGCUAAUCUCCCGUUCUUGAUCUCUUUAACCUUGAGAAGAGCUCCUUGUUCAGGGUCCUUAGCAAGUCCCAGAGGAUCAAAUGGACCUCCUGGGUGAAGCUUGUCUUCGAAAUCCUGCCCAAAUUUUUUGCAUUUCCAAGUUUAGUUGUGUUCCCCGUGAGGAAUUCGAAUGAGUAAUAGCUUAAAAUGUAGAGUAAAUUUACCAAUCCGUUGGUGAUUCUGUAGUACUCGGCUCCACCGAGGAGAACAACUUCAGCAACUACGGCGAGAACAAGGUUGAUUGGGAUGUUCUUGCCGAAAUAGUUCAAUGUGUUUCCAUCAAGAAGCAGAGCACCAGUCUGCAUCGUCAUUCCAAUAAAACCCAUCAAAAUCAUAAGUUCUUGCUUUGCUAUAUAUAAUCUGAAGUCAAUUGAAGAUUCAAGAAAGAUGAGAAUUAGUAUAAAGAACCUUAAACCAGACAGCUUCAGGGCCACAGUUAGCACCGUAUUUGUUUAAGGCUUCAGGGAUGAUGAAACCAGCUGCUCCCAACAUAGCCCAUCUCGCGUGGAUCAAUUCAAAGGCUUGGUAUCUAGCAACCACAUUCAUUACACAACCAGUCUUAAUGACAUUGACAAAUUUGAGAGAUAAGAGAUGGAACUAACGAAACAGGUAUUAGAGCAGAGAAUCUGCUUACUUAGCAAAGUUCUCAGGCUUCUUUCCAAGUCCAAAUGGGUCAUAGCCA